rnacentral:rRNA from 1 species
GAUGAACGCUGGCGGCGUGCCUAAUACAUGCAAGUCGAGCGAACAGACGAGGAGCUUGCUCCUCUGACGUUAGCGGCGGACGGGUGAGUAACACGUGGAUAACCUACCUAUAAGACUGGGAUAACUUCGGGAAACCGGAGCUAAUACCGGAUAAUAUAUUGAACCGCAUGGUUCAAUAGUGAAAGACGGUUUUGCUGUCACUUAUAGAUGGAUCCGCGCCACAUUAGCUAGUUGGUAAGGUAACGGCUUACCAAGGCGACGAUGCGUAGCCGACCUGAGAGGGUGGUCGGCCACACUGGAACUGGGAAAAGGUCCCGACUCCUACGGGGAGCAGCAGGAGGGAAACUUCCGGAAUGGGGGGAAGCCUUACGGAGCAACGCCGCGGGAGUGAUGAAGGUCUUCGGAUCGGAAAACUCUGUUAUUAGGGAAGAACAAAUGUGUAAGUAACUAUGCACGUCUUGACGGUACCUAAUCAGAAAGCCACGGCUAACUACGUG